rnacentral:rRNA from 1 species
UACGUAGGGGGCAAGCGUUGUCCGGAAUCAUUGGGCGUAAAGAGCGUGUAGGCGGCCCGGUAAGUCCGCUGUAAAAGUCAAAGGCUCAACCUUUGAAUGUCAGUGGAUACUGCCGGGCUAGAGUCCGGAAGAGGCGAGUGGAAUUCCUGGUGUAGCGGUGGAAUGCGCAGAUAUCAGGAGGAACACCAGCGGCGAAGGCAGCUCGCUGGGACGGUACUGACGCUGAGGCGCGAAAGCGUGGGGAGCGAACAGG